rnacentral:rRNA from 1 species
GAUGAACGCUAGCGGCAGGCCUAAUACAUGCAAGUCGAACGGUCCACUUCGGUGGAUAGUGGCGCACGGGUGCGUAACACGUAUGCAACCUACCUUACAUUGGGGGAUAGCCUUUCGAAAGGGAGAUUAAUACCGCAUAAGACAGUAACAUGGCAUCAUGUAGCUGUUAAAGAUUUAUCGAUGUAAGCUGGGCAUGCGUCCAAUUAGUUAGUUGGCGAGGUAAUGGCUCACCAAGACGAUGAUUGGUAGGGGAACUGAGAGGUCAAUCCCCCACACUGGCACUGAGAUACGGGCCAGACUCCUACGGGAGGCAGCAGUAGGGAAUAUUGGGCAAUGGACGCAAGUCUGACCCAGCCAUGCCGCGUGCAGGAAGAAGGCGUUCUGCGUUGUAAACUGCUUUUAUAUAGGAAGAAACGACCCUUGCGAGGGGCAUUGACGGUAUUAUAUGAAUAAGCACCGGCUAACUCCGUGCCAGCAGCCGCGGUAAGAC